rnacentral:rRNA from 1 species
GACGAACGCUGGCGGCGUGCUUAACACAUGCAAGUCGAACGGAAAGGCCCUGCUUUUGUGGGGUGCUCGAGUGGCGAACGGGGGAGUAACACGUGAGUAACCUGCCCUUGACUUUGGGAUAACUUCAGGAAACUGGGGCUAAUACCGGAUAGGAGCUCCUGCUGCAUGGUGGGGGUUGGAAAGUUUCGGCGGUUGGGGAUGGACUCGCGGCUUAUCAGCUUGUUGGUGUGGUAGUGGAUUACCAAGGCUUUGACGGGUAGCCGGCCUGAGAGGGUGACCGGCCACGUUGGGACUGGGCUACGGCCCCGCCUCCUCCGGGAGGCAGCGGUGGGGAAUAUUGCACUAUGGGCGGAAGCCUGAUGCAGCAACGCCGCGCGCGGGAUGACGUCCUUCGGGUUGUAAACCGAUUUCGCCUGUGACGAAGCGUUAGUGACGGUAAUGGGUAAAGAAGCACCGGCUAACUACGUG